AUGUCGCACCAACCACCCGACAAGAUCGCCAAGGUCCGGUCCCGCUUUUACUGGGCGUGCGACAACGACAAGUAGAAGUAUCAUAUGGUUAGUUGGCCUGACAUCUGCAAGCCCAGGGAGCAAGGUGGCCUUGGCAUCAUGUGCUCUAAAUGGAUGAAUAUCGCCUUUCUCUCCCACUGGCUUUGGCGCAUCUCGCAAGGGCAUGGUGGUCUUUGGCUUGACAUUAUCCAGAAUAAAUAUUUCCGCAGAUAG
rnacentral:rRNA from 1 species